ACGAGAGGUCCCUCCAAAGGCUGGUCAGACAAGUGCACUGUGGAACCUGACCCCAGCCCGCUGUGCCCGACACCCUCUGCCAGCUGCAUGGGAUGUAGGGCAAAGGCUGGAGAGUCAGGCGAGGGGUCUGGGAAGAACCAGGGAGGAGUGGCUCCCUGGACAUGGCAGAGCUUUCAGUGCGAGCAGAGGGAGGUGGGGCCGUAGGGACUCUGGUAAUGGCACAGGAGGAAGGAAGGAAAGGCAGAGAGGGAAGGGAAGACCCAGGUGCUCUCCAGGGUGUGACGCCAGGCGCAGCUUGGUUCAGCAGUCAUGAAGACCAGACCUUAUUGUUCCCGUGAGCAACAGAGCAUUUCACUAUGCAGCCACAGAUUGACCUUGAACUCACCAUAAUCCUUCUGCUUCAGCUUCCUGAUCACAGAAUUACAGAAAAAGAGAGAAUUCCAACAGGCCACAAGGAAGCUUCCGCAGUGCAGAUACUCCCUUCAGUGUCCUUCAAAAGCACAGUGGCAGCCACGAAGAACAAGGAGGAAACUGCACCCCUGUGUCAGCACUUACCUGUGUGAGCUGCGCUGACUUGGCCUUGGAAGCCCCUGGGAGGAACCCUGCAGAAUGCUGUUUGUUUUAUAACUUUCCCUAUAGCCUCCGUUGUUUGUGGUUUCAAAUUUUGCUAAGUAAAAUUAGUCUUAACAAUCAUAA